GACAGAGGGGGCAAGCGUUGUCCGGAAUUACUGGGCGUACAGGGCACGCAGGUGGCUGCACAGGUGGCGUGUGAAAGCCCCGCGCUUAACGCGGGGAGGCCACGCCAAACGGUGCGGCUCGAGCGAUGCAGAGGGUGGUGGAAUUGCCGGUGUAGUGGUGAAAUGCGUAGAGAUCGGCAGGAACACCAAGGACGAAGGUAACCACCUGGGCAUCAGCUGACACUCAUGUGCGACAGCGUGUGGAGCGAACCGG
rnacentral:rRNA from 1 species